GACGAACGCUGGCGGCGUGCUUAACACAUGCAAGUCGAACGGAAAGGCCCUGCUUUUGUGGGGUGCUCGAGUGGCGAACGGGUGAGUAACACGUGAGUAACCUGCCCUUGACUUUGGGAUAACUUCAGGAAACUGGGGCUAAUACCGGAUAGGAGCUCCUGCUGCAUGGUGGGGGUUGGAAAGUUUCGGCGGUUGGGGAUGGACUCGCGUCUUAUCAGCUUGUUGGUGGGGUAGUGGCAUACCAAGGCCUUGACGGGUAGCCGGCCUGAGAGGGUGACCGGCCACAUUGGGACUGAGAUGCGGCCCAGACUCCUACGGGAGGCAGCAGUGGGGAAUAUUGCACAAUGGGCGGAGGCCUGAUGCAGCAACGCCGCGUGCGGGAUGACGGCCUUCGGGUUGUAAACCGCUUUCGCCUGUGACGAAGCGUGAGUGACGGUAAUGGGUAAAGAAGCACCGGCUAACUACGUG
rnacentral:rRNA from 1 species